AACCAUAGAAACCUGCGGAGUACCUGCGGAAGGAUCAUUAUUGAUUUUCUAAAGAUGUGCUGGCAAACCCCUUCAGGUUUGCAUGUGCACUCUACAAAAUCUUCCUUCUUUACCCCAUUGUGCACACUUCAGUAGGCAAAGACAGAUUUCACAGAUCAAUCUGUGCAAAUCUAUUUGCCUAUGCUUUUAUCAAACACCAUUAACACUUUUAGAAUGAUGUAUAAGUAAGCUUUUAAUAAG
rnacentral:misc_RNA from 1 species